rnacentral:rRNA from 1 species
GUUUACGACCAUGCCACCCUGAACAAGCCUGAUUUCUGCUAAGCAAGGUCAGGCCUGGUUAGUACUUGAAUGGGAGACUACCUAGGAAGAGCAGGUGCUAUAGUCA